rnacentral:lncRNA from 1 species
ACUAAAGGUGGACUUUUAACAAGUGCAGUGACAAUGCAGGGGCAGUCAAUAAAUGGAACAGCAAGGCCACAGAACAUGACAUAAGCAGAGCUGUGGUAGAGCCGGGGGUGGUGUUUACCACUCCACCACGCCUUCAGCAGGCUGGAAAAGAGUGAUUGAUACGGUUUUUCAUACUAAGGUGGACCAAUAGUUUGUUGAUUGGUCAGUCAUUGGGAGGGGCUCUGAAAGACACUAUGGGGGUGUCCACUGGAAGUUGACUAGUAACAACAACUGGGACCUAAAAGACACCCACCAUGAGACCCACUAAAUCUGCCCAAGAAGAG